rnacentral:tRNA from 1 species
UUAAUAGAAGCCAAAUCUUAGAGGCAUAUCAUUGUUAAUGAUAUCAUUGAAUAUUAUAUUCCUAUUAAA